GCAGCAGCAUAAGUUAAAGGCUAUUUAAAUAUAGUCCUUAUUUUGUAACGUGGGCACUGUGCUCCCAUUUUCAAACUGCCAAUGAACCACUGGGAAUUUUCAUUCUCUUGCUGAUUCUCUUUAAGACCUCCAUGAACAGCAGAGAAAACAUUUCCACUGUAAUAAAAACAGGGGUUUGUUUUCCUUUUUUAAAACUGAGGCACUGGGUAAAAUAAAGGUCAUUGCAACAACAUUUGAAAGAACAAAAAGAGUAAUUUUCCCCCUUUUGCUUUUUUACUGGUUUUCGAUGCAAUGUGAAAAAUCAUUUUUAAGUUUGCCCAUCUGUUUUACAUAAAACCUUAGCUGACCUUACACAAAGUGAAACAAAUGCACAAAAAGCUUUGCUGUUGGGUUCUUGCCAGCAGGACAGAAGAGAAAGAAAAGAAUACAUAAAGUUAGAUCCUGCUCUUGUGUAGAUUAGCCUAGCUCCAGUGGGGACUUGUGUUGAUUUAUACCGGCAGAGGCUCAGGCUUGUAUUUCUUAUAAAAACCAGACUUGUCAGACCCAGUCUUGAAACACUGAAAUCAUCUGAAGUUUUGAUACUGAUUUUUGUGGGAAAAAAAGUACACUCACUGAAGGAGCCGUGCUUAUUACAGGUAAACAGCACAUAUCCGUAUAGUCAGCGUGUGCUAUUGGGCAAAGUGAACUGUAAGAACACAGUGUAAGUAACUCUUUGAGAUUUGUGGAUGAGCAGGUGUGGUUUAAGGCUUGAAUUGUACCUCAGCUUUGUAUGCUUUGUGUACAUGACUGAGUUUGAGCCUUGUCUGAGGAAGCUAAGGAGCUCAUUUCACAUCAGUCUUGAAGCAAAGGGAUUCUCAGAACACGCAGAGCUAAUCACAGCAGGGUCAUAGGAGGCAGAUACGUUUGCAGGACUGAUGCAGAGCUCCAUUGCUCGAGGUGGAUCCUGAGGAAUAGUUGCUAUUUAUUGCAGCCCAAUGUAUUGGAAUUCAAAACCAAGGAGAUCGAUCAUCCUCGCAUCAGAUCUGAGGGCUUCUUAUCAAAUAAAAAAGCCUGCAGCAGCAGAAAGCAGUCCUACCUGCCAAGAUGAAGUGAAGACACAAAAGUGUUUUGAAGAAACAAAAUGGGAGACAGCCAUAGGACACAGGUCUCCUUAUAGUCAUGCCAAAACGUUUGGUACAUAGUAUGCAUUUUUUGCAGUGUGGUGGAACAAAGCAAUUAUUUCACAGCUGAAGGAAAACCAGAAGAUAUUUAAAAAUGGAAAGUUCCCUUCCCAAGCCAUAAUGGAUGACGACGGUAGUAGAAGUAAUAUAUUCAGAGGGACCAAAACAGGAUAACAAUUUUUCAGAAGCUGAAGAAAUAUAUGAGGGAAGAAGAGAGAUUGAUACAGCAGCAUUGGAACCAGCUUUGUCCUUGGAUUGCAAGGGAAUGGAGAAAUGAGGUGUCUUCACAGAUCUUUCUUAUGUGACCAAGUGGCAGAAAAUGCUGCAGAAAUCUACUUCAGACAGUUAAGUAUUCAGGUUACUGAAAGCUGUGUUUACUAUUUUUAUAUCUAUGGUUGUGAGCUAAGUAUUUUUUUUUUUUUUUUUUUUUUUGCCUGUUCACAUCCUUGCUGCCUGCAGAGCUUCCCAGUUGCUAGGCUGUGUUUAAUAUAUUAUUUUCCCAUUGAGACACCUAUGCUCCCUGUCACAUCUCUGUUGUCUCUUUUCAGUACUGUAUGAGCCCCAUCUCUGGCUUCUCUAAAUGUUAAAGACCUCUCUUCCAGUUAUUUAUACAGUAUUUAAAAUACGUCCCUUAGUAAUCUUGACUUCAUCAGCCUGACCCCUCUGAACCACCAUUCGCCCUUGGUUCAUCAAAUCAGGUUCAGCCUUCUUGCCUUUAGCUUAGGACAUUUUAAUUCUUUUUUUCUGCAUAAUGUCUGUUUCUGUCUCCUAUAUUGAGAUUUAUUAAAAUUAUUUAGCCAUUUUAAGAUGAAACCGUAUGUCUAGUUGAGUGUUCAAAAUCAGUGACUACCUAAUUCCCCCUGAGACUAACACUCAUUCAUUCUCCUCAUUAACUUAGCAAGAGGACUUAGAGUCCAGCAUUGCAGAUUGUCUCCAGGCUUUCAUGCCUGAACUUCUCUUUCACUGUUGGGGGCAUAGAUCCUUCCUCUUCUGAGGACAAAGAAAUUUGGUGUCAUCCAGUCUGUGGAGAAAGUUUGCUGCAACUUGGAAUGCUGUUCUACCAAACAAUUCCUUUCUUCCAUCUGCGACACAAUUUUUUAGGGUUUUCCGAUUAAUCCAAAUACUGAAGAUAUUAUAAAGCCACAGAAACUGCUUUAGGCCAAAGAUGGCAAUUACAGCUAAGAGCUAGAGCUAACUGAAAGGCUUCCUAUUUUUUAACAUUUUUCUGUGGCUUUUAAGAUCUUUUUGUGUCACUCUGGAAUGAAAACCAAGUGCACAAAGACUUUUGGCAAAAAUGGGACUUUGCAAAAUGUUCAUCUUUGGCUCCAGAAACCGUUUUUCUUCUACUCUCAUCUUCUAGGAAGCCUAUUGUAGAGCUUAGAAAUAAUCCUGUCAGAACUUCAUCAAAGCCAGUAUUUGUUUUCAAAAUGUUCUAGUUUUGGCAUAAUAUUAGUUGGAGAAGAAAGUAUUUAAUCCAAAAUUUUCUGACUAGUUCCAUAAAUGUCAUUACAUUAAUUAGGUACAUAAGUAACAGUAGCUGAAUUAGCUAUGUUUACACAUGUCUAGUCAUCUGAAAGAAUAUGAAGUCAGACAGGACUCAAGGGUUGGCUCAGUAAGUGUCAUAAAUUUUAGUAACCCCUGAUCUUGAUGCUCAGUAGAACACAUCUGUGAACAAAACUAAUUGAAACAUCAAGAAAAAGUCAAAACAAAUGAAAAGCAUUAGCAAAAAAAAAAAAAACAUUAUUAAUUUAGAGUAAUAUGUUAGGGUGAGUGGCAAAUUAAAUCGCUAUCCAAGUCCUGACACAGUUUUUUAUUUGAAACUAUAAUGUGAUUAUUGAUCAAAUGAAUUAAUUCUAUUUU
rnacentral:lncRNA from 1 species